rnacentral:lncRNA from 1 species
GUAGGUGGAGGUAUAGAGGUAUGGGACUGUAGGUGGAGGUAUAGAGGUACGGGACUGUAGGUGGAGGUAUGGGACUGUUGGUGGAGGUAUGGGACUGAAGGUGGAGGUAUGGGACUGUAGGUGGAGGUAUAGAGGUAUGGGACUGUAGGUGGAGGUAUGGGACUGUAGGUGGAGGUAUAGAGGUAUGGGACUGUAGGUGGAGGUAUAGAGGUAUGGGACUGUAGGUGGAGGUAUAGAGUUAUGGGACUGUAGGUGGAGGUAUGGGACUGUAGGUGGAGG